GACGAACGCUGGCGGCGUGCCUAAUACAUGCAGGUAGAACGCACAGUUUAUACUGUAGCUUGCUACACCAUAAACUGUGAGUUGCGAACGAGCGAGUAACGCGUCGGUAACCUGCCUGGUAGCGGGGGAUAACUAGGGGUAACGAUAGCUAAUACCUCCUACUAUUGAUUGUUGCAUGAAAAUUUAUGGAAAGUUGCUAUUGCAUCACUACCAAACAGAUCUUCGUUGUAUUAGUUAGUAGGUGAGGCAACGGCUCACCUAGGCGAGGAUACAUAGCCGAACUGAGAGGGUGGGUGGCCGGCCUGGGACGGAGACACGGCACAGAGUCCUUCGGGAGGCAGCAGUAGGGCAACUUCGGCAAUGGGCGGAAGACUGACCGAGCAACGCCGCGUGAGUGAAGAAGGUUUUCGGGUCGGAAAGCUCUGUUGUAAGGGAAGAACGGGUGUGAGAGUGGAAAGUUCACACUGUGACGGUAUCUUACCAGAAAGGGACGGCUAACUACGUG
rnacentral:rRNA from 1 species